UUUUAAUUUGGUUUCAGGCAGUCUCCUUGGCUACCUUGACAUGCUCUUUUCUUUUAUGCAAGAUAUCUUUUCAAAAUAGAAGUUUUAGUCAUCGUUAAAAUAUCGAGACGGGGUUACAAGUCUUAUUUAAAAGAAGAGAAGUCUAGCAUGAUGAGAAGAGUCUUAUUUGGUAGCCAAGGAUGACUUGCCUGCACCGUACUUGAAA